rnacentral:lncRNA from 1 species
AGUUUUUGAAGCACCAGAAGGACUUUCCAUGGAUCAAACAAAGCCAGCAAGCAUUUAAAGAAUUAAAGAGCUAUCUCAGCUCUGUGCCACUUCUUAGCAAGCUCGAGUUGGAUGAGAAGUUAUACAUCUACAUAGCGGUCUCAUCAAUUGCAAUAAGCUCAAUCCUCAUCCACGAGGAGGGCAAGAUUUAGAGGUCGAUUUAUUAUAUCAACAAAUCCUCCACGAUGCAAAAAUUAGAUACUUGAGGCUUGAGA